rnacentral:snoRNA from 1 species
GUGCCCCGCUUGUGAUGAAGCCUGUGUUGGUAGGGACAUCUGAGACUGCUGAUGAAUGCCAGCACUCUGAUGGCGC